GUGGGGAAUUUUGGACAAUGGGCGCAAGCCUGAUCCAGCAAUGCCGCGUGCAGGAAGAAGGCCUUCGGGUUGUAAACUGCUUUUGUACGGAACGAAACGGUCCUGGUUAAUACCCGGGGCUAAUGACGGUACCGUAAGAAUAAGCACCGGCUAACUACGUGCCAGCAGCCGCGGUAAUACGUAGGGUGCAAGCGUUAAUCGGAAUUACUGGGCGUAAAGCGUGCGCAGGCGGUGCUGUACGACAGGCGUGAAAUCCCCGGGCUUAACCUGGGAAUUGCGCUUGUGACUGCAGUGCUGGAGUGCGGCAGAGGGGGAUGGAAUUCCGCGUGUAGCAGUGAAAUGCGUAGAUAUGCGGAGGAACACCGAUGGCGAAGGCAAUCCCCUGGGCCUGCACUGACGCUCAUGCACGAAAGCGUGGGGAGCAAACAGGAUUAGAAACCCCUGUAGUCC
rnacentral:rRNA from 1 species